AUUGAACGCUGGCGGAAUGCUUUACACAUGCAAGUCGAGCGGCAGCGCGGGGGCAACCCUGGCGGCGAGCGGCGAACGGGUGAGUAAUGUAUCGGAACGUACCCAGUCGUGGGGGAUAACUAUCCGAAAGGAUAGCUAAUACCGCAUACGACCUGAGGGUGAAAGCGGGGGACCGUAAGGCCUCGCGCGAUUGGAGCGGCCGAUAUCGGACUAGCUAGUUGGUGAGGUAAAGGCUCACCAAGGCGACGAUCCGUAGCUGGUCUGAGAGGACGACCAGCCACACUGGAACUGAGACACGGUCCAGACUCCUACGGGAGGCAGCAGUGGGGAAUUUUGGACAAUGGGGGCAACCCUGAUCCAGCCAUUCCGCGUGAGUGAAGAAGGCCUUCGGUUGUAAAGCUCUUUCAGCAGGAACGAAACGGACUCUCUCUAACAUAGGGAGUUAAUGACGGUACCUGAAGAAGAAGCACCGGCUAACUACGUGCCAGCAG
rnacentral:rRNA from 1 species